rnacentral:rRNA from 1 species
CCCUUAGAUGUUCUGGGCUGCACACGUGCUACACUGGCAGGUUCAGCGAGCUUCAUGCCCUGAUCUGAAAGGAAUGGGAAAUCUUUUCAAAACCUGCCGUGCUUGGGAUAGAUGUUUGCAAUUAUUCAUCUUCAACGAGGAUUGCCUUGUAAGCGCACGUCAUCAGCGUGCAUUGAAUACGACCCUGUAUUCUGUACACACCGCCCGUCGCUCCUACCGAUUGAAGUUUUCGGUGAGUUGACAGGAGGAUUUUUUUGAAACUGGUUCGCCAGUGGAUUUUAGAUCCAGAUGCCAACGAAUCGAUGGCUUUAGAGGAAGGAGAAGUCGUAACA